CAGAAAGCACAGAAGUUUACCUGACUGCGACAAUAGAGGAGAGCUGUAGCAGACGUGCAGAAGUUGCUGCGAAAUCUCCAGAAAUGGCUUGUCAAAUUGCCUUUCGGUUUGGCUGCUCAUCUGCCAACACUGUGAACACCAGGUGUGGCAGUGUUGUUCUCGACUUCAUGAUGAGGUUCAAUCAAAG